rnacentral:tRNA from 1 species
GCCGGGGUGGCCGAGCGGCCCAAGGCGCGGGACUCGAGAUCCCGUCCCCGUACAGGGGUCGUGGGUUCAAAUCCCACCCCCGGCGCCA